GAAUAUCUCGGAUAAGUCAACCGGCAAAGCAUCUAUGUUCAUGGGCGGAACUCUGCAGCCAAAAGUUAAUUAUCAGCCCAGAAGGAUGUUUGGUACAGUGGCAUUGACGCUGUUGAAAGCGCUAAGGAAGGCAUGACGAAGGAGUCGGCAAUAUCUUGCAAUUUACCCCCAAUCAUGUACCUGCAUUCAAGUAUUCAGUGCGCAGGAUGUGCUAAACGUGGGAUGCGUAGCAAAGUAGCAGUAACAUAAGCUCAACUUCGCAAUAAUUCUGAAUCAUGUUUUGUAAAGGAAGUUAAAAGCCCAUGCGAGUGAGACAAUGGUUGCGGUGUGGCUGACAGUAGCCACAACUACGUAUUACUCUUUUCAAUCAUAAUGGUGCAAGAAUGUUCUAUUCUCCUUAA